CAGGUUUUGAUGACUUGAGGAGCUUGUCGACAGAAGCACAAGAAACGGACACAAGGACUACGAUGGCAAUUACCACGACGCCUGCGUGCUUUCUUCAAUAAACCAAAUACGGAAACGUGGGGCAAAGAGGAAAGAAAGAAAAACACAUCCAUUGCUCUUGAGUUUAUAUCAACCGACAACCCAACAACUUAUUCACCCAGCGCGCCUCUGAUCCUCCGAUCGUUUCGUCGCUUCGUUUGGUCUGGGUUCGGCCAGUGAAACGGAAGGAAAGAAACGGGGGGAGAGGAGAUAUUUCCAUCCUCCCUCCCACACUGAAAGAAGGAAAAGAAAAAGGAACGAACCCAACGGCCCAUCCCCCCUCCCUACCUACAUGCCACCGCGAACGGCUGGCCGACCACCACCAAGCUCCGCAACGUAACGAGAAAACAAGAAAAAAAAACAUAAUCCCCUUUCUCCUAUCCAGGCCGCUCUUUUUCUCAUCCCCACGCACGCGCCGGGAGAAUAGGAGAGCGAGAAUAAAGAGGGGACUGGAGAGAAAGCAUACAUACUGCAUCAGUUUACGACUUUAUACGGGGAACGCAAAACGCGACAGGGAUAUUGGAUUUGUGAAUUCGUUUGCGAACGAAUCGCCUUGUCUGAAUUAAAUCCCUUCGAUAGAUAUAUAAGUUACUCUUAUACGAAUACCGUCAUUCUUUCCCCCCCGCCUCUGAAUUUCUCGCAUUAAGGGCGAGGGGCUCCUUUUGUAAAAACAAUUAAAGCAGGCGAAAAAAAAGUAAGCGAAGAGGGAAAAAGGAGAAUAGAGGAGGGGGAUUCAGGAUGCAAUUUACGGAGGAACAGGCGGCGGAGGUUAAGGCAUGGGUUGUCAAGAGGUUGGAGGAUAUAUCUGAUGCGGACUCGGACGUAUUGGCCGAUUAUGUACUGGCCUUGAUCCGGUCCGAUGCCCCCGAUGAAGAUAUCCGGAAGGCUUCUGUGGAGAAUUUGGAGGAUUUUUUGAAAGAGAAUACCAUCGCCUUCGUCGACGAGAUCUUUACCAAAUUCAAUCCUAAGCCUCAGCUUGUUCAAGCCCAAGUUCAACCAACCACCCACCAACAACCUCCGGAAUCCGCCGUCGUUACGGCAGUCGCUCCACCACAGGAACAAACCAUCCCCUCCGAUACGAUGUCCAGGGCCCCAUUUGGCCACGGACAAACCAAUGUAAGACCCAACCCGCUAGCCACAGGCGGCUUUGAAAGCACCGGCAGAUCGAGCUUCUCCAGAAAACGUGCCUUCAACGAAGGACCACAGGCUGGCGACGACCAUGAUCUACAUUAUAACCGCGCGGAUCGGCCGUUUAAAUCCAUGCGAGGUCGCCGUGGUGGGCGCGGGGAUAGUCGCGUGCUUGUAAAUAAUAAUAACAAUCACAACAACAACAUUAGCAAUGGGCGAAUGGGCCCCGCACAUCUAAACCACCAGCAGCAGCAACAGCAGCAACCGCAGCAACCGGCCGGCGGCGGGUUCCAAGGAAUGGCUCCUGUUGCUACCUCAGCUGGGUUUCCUCCCUUCAACCCCAGCGAUCCCAUUGCUGCCAUGAUGACGCUACAGGCAGCCAUGGGGUUUCCACAAAUCCCUGGCAUGCCCCCACUCCCUCAUCUGCCCGCUUCGACGGGCACGCCGGGCUCCAGCCAGCCGUCGGCGAGCACAUCGCCGGCGCCUGGUAGUAUUCCCCAAAGAUGCGUGGAUUAUGAUACACAAGGCUUUUGUGUGUUGGGGAGUACAUGUCCGUAUCAGCAUGGGACAGAUCAUUUAGUAGCACCAGCGAGGGAUGACGAAUAUGACCCUACGAAGUCAAAUCUUGUCUUGGAUAGACCGCUUGGUGGUACAAAUGGCCACAGCUUAGCGGGAGCUUCUCGGGCUGGUGAUAAAGGCGGGCGUGGCCGUAGUCGCGGUAGGGGAGAUCGAGGCGGUUUCACGGGCCCCCGACGGAAUCGCGCUGAAUUUUCGCAGGCCGGGCCAAAUGAGGAUAGAUCGAUUACCACGAUUGUCGUCGAGCAGAUCCCAGAGGAUAAGUUUGACGAGGCCAUCGUGCGCGAGUUCUUUUCUGAGUUUGGCAAUAUUGUCGAGGUUACUAUGCAACCAUAUAAACACUUGGCCCUUGUGAAAUACGACAGCUGGGCAGCGGCACGUCGUGCUUGGGCAAGUCCGAAAGUCAUCUUCGACAACCGGUUUGUGAAAGUUUAUUGGUAUAAGCCGGGAUCGAAAUCUGAGACAAAUGGAGCCGGUGAUCAUCACCAUCCCGACAAAUCGGACGAAAAGCCUUUCGAUUCGCAGGAAUUCGAGAAGCAACAAGCCGAAGCGCAAAGACAGCACGAGGAAAAGAUGAAGAAACGAAAGGAGACCGAAGAGGCAAGACUAGCGCUUGAGAAGCAGAAGGAGGAUCUGUUGAAGAGGCAACAGGAGGAGAAGGCGAGGUUACUCCAGCGGCUCGGCUCGCAGCAGCCGCAUGAAGCGGAUGGAACGAAUGGCACCUCGCCUGCGGCCGCUGAUUCGGAUACGAUAAGAGCGUCAUCAUCGUCUUCUCACCCUGACGAAAAUGUUAGCGAGCAGACGAAGAUGUUGCGUGCGCAGCUGGCGGCGCUUGAGGCGGAGGCUAAAAGUCUAGGCUUGGACCCGGCGUUAUCGGAUCCGCAAUACCCGCCCCGGGGCCGUGGCAGGGGUUGGGCUGGGUAU
rnacentral:sRNA from 1 species